UCUCCGUAGGUGAACCUGCGGAGGGAUCAUUACCGAGCGAGGGCCCCGGCUCGACCUCCAACCCACUGAAGUUACCAACCCUGUUGCCUCGGGGGCGACCCGGCCUUCGGGCGUCGGGGCCCCCGGUGGACCACCCAACCCUGCAUCGUUGCGUCUGAGUCGAAAUAUAAAUCAAUCAAAACUUUCAACAACGGAUCUCUUGGUUCUGGCAUCGAUGAAGAACGCAGC
rnacentral:misc_RNA from 1 species